GACGAACGCUGGCGGCGUGCUUUACACAUGCAAGUCGAACGGUGAAGGUGGAGCUUGCUCCGCCGGAUCAGUGGCGAACGGGUGAGUAACGCGUGGGCAACCUGCCCCUAACUUUGGGAUAACUACUCGAAAGAGUAGCUAAUACCGGAUACGAAGUCUGUAGGCAUCUACGGAUUUGGAAAGUUUUUCGGUUAGGGAUGGGCUCGCGGCCUAUCAGCUUGUUGGUGAGGUAGUGGCUCACCAAGGCGACGACGGGUAGCCGGCCUGAGAGGGCGACCGGCCACACUGGGACUGAGACACGGCCCAGACUCCUACGGGAGGCAGCAGUGGGGAAUAUUGCGCAAUGGGCGAAAGCCUGACGCAGCAACGCCGCGUGCGGGAUGAAGGCCUUCGGGUUGUAAACCGCUUUCAGCAGGGAAGAAGCGAAAGUGACGGUACCUGCAGAAGAAGCACCGGCUAACUACGUGCCAGCCGCCGCCGCGG
rnacentral:rRNA from 1 species